GAUGAACGCUGGCGGCGUGCUUAACACAUGCAAGUCGAACGAUGAAGCCCAGCUUGCUGGGCGGAUUAGUGGCGAACGGGUGAGUAACACGUGAGUAACCUGCCCUUGACUCUGGGAUAAGCCCGGGAAACUGGGUCUAAUACCGGAUAGGAGCGCCUGUCGCAUGACGGGUGCUGGAAAGAUCUUUCGGUCAUGGAUGGACUCGCGGCCUAUCAGCUUGUUGGUGAGGUAACGGCUCACCAAGGCGACGACGGGUAGCCGGCCUGAGAGGGUGACCGGCCACACUGGGACUGAGACACGGCCCAGACCCCUACGGGAGGCAGCAGUGGGGAAUAUUGCACAAUAGGCGAAAGCCUGAUGCAGCGACGCCGCGUGAGGGAUGACGGCCUUCGGGUUGUAAACCUCUUUCAGCAGGGAAGAAGCGAAAGUGACGGUACCUGCAGAAGAAGCACCGGCUAACUACGUG
rnacentral:rRNA from 1 species